CUGCAUUGAGAUAUUUUUAGCGAUGUUUAGUCGAAUUCGCUCAGCUGCUGAAGAUGAAACUUAUCAAGCUACUGUGAAGAAACUGCGUCAGAAAUAUUACCCAAUUGAGCUGGAUUCUCAUAUUCCAGUUAAGGAUAAAAUCAAACAUAUGGAAGAUUGGUGGAAUUUGUCUGAAAAAGCAAUUAGUGGAUUGAUGGUAACUCAACAGGACAUCGAUGAUGUUUGUUUGGAAUGUAAGCCUUCAUUAAGAAAUGGAUGCAAGGAGUUUUUUAGA
rnacentral:lncRNA from 1 species